GAUGGAGGGGCCGCCGGCCCCGCCCGGGCCUCCGUGCGGGGGAUGGAGGGGCCGCCUUUCCCCUCCCAGGCCUCCCGUGCCCUCCGCGGGGGGCGGGGAGGCCGCGCCAGGGACCCGCGGGGAUCCCUGCGCUGGGUUUGGGCCCUGUCCUGCCGGCCCAUUGCCGGUGCAGGGUGUGGUGGAGCUCCCUGGGGCCGGGGGUGCAUCGGACCCUGUGCGGGGCGAGGCUGCAGCUGGUGAGACCUUUCAGUCGGCCCCUGCUGUCCCCUGGGGCAGCGGAGGCUUUAAGUGGGCAGCUGGCAAAGUGCUGGCUGGCCCUGCCUCCCUGCUGGCUUUGGCCGUGCCCAGGGGCCGACUGAACCGCGUUUAGCUGCCUGCCCUGUUUAGGUUGAUUUUUGUUUUUUCAUGGGGUGAAGCGGGCGAUUUGUUAUCACUGAGGAAGAAGCCGUGCGCUGCACGCUCGGCUUUAGUGCGGGGAGAGGAGACUCGAGCAGCUUUGCAGAGCCCGGUCUGUCCCCGGGGCAGCUGGCAGGGAGUGGAAGCAGGAUGGAGAGGUGGGAGCGAGGUUGGGCUGGGUGGCUGCCCGUGCCAGAGGGUGGUUCAGUCGGUGCUGGAAUACGGGCAGAACUGCCCAGCGUUAGUCAGGGAGGUGCUGGAUUUGGAGCAUGUCCUGCAGACGGUGUGUGCAGCCAGCUGUGCCUGAGCUGGGCAGAUCCCGUGUUCUUUCCAAGAACCUGGUGCAGAGCAUGGAGGUCUCCUAAAGCAACAGGGCCCAUCCUAUAAUGAUUUAAAUCAUCUGUUCAGAAGAAAUAUUAAUGGGACUCCCAUAAGACUCCUGACAGUUUGAUGAUGUUCCUGCUAGAAGACCUAUUGCCUCAUUUUGAAAACACUAAUAAAAGCACCAAUAUUCAAGCUACAGGGCUUAAAUGUUCACUGUUAGUCCUAAGUUGAUGUACUUUCAGGCAUUCUGCUGCUGAACAGAAUUAUUAGUUAUAAAUUGAUGGAUUGAUGUUCUUUCACAGUGUACAAGGAGGUGGACAUUGAAAAAUAAUACUGUCAGCAGAAAGGUUUUUAUUUUUGUUUUUAAGAAGAGGAGAGCUAAGUAAGCUGGUAAGAAAGAAAAGUCUCAUUUCAGUUUAUCAGAACAGGACACCUCUUCAUGUUCAAGCCUGAUAUCUGUGUGUCAUUCUGACUUGUGAUAGUGACUGGAAAUGAAGUCCCUUAUUGUGCCCUAACAACUGAGCUCUACUUAAGCAGGUUUUUUUUUUUGUUCCUUGAAGUUUUUUAGUAGGAUAGCUUGAGAUCCAGCUGUUCUGUUGGUAAAUAAUUUCAGCAUACCAUAAAGGUGACAUCAGGCAGCACCAACAUAUCCUCCAUUUUGAGAGCAUUAUGAAUGCUUAAAAUGCACAUAUAAUUCUGGGCUGCCUAAAUUGUGAACACUGAAGACAGAUCUCUGAAAAGUUCUUGGUUAUUUUGAAGAUGAGCUAGUUUGAAAAAGUUGUGCAACAAGCAGCAGAAAUGUAGAAGUGUUCUGGGGGUUUUACUAGUGUAGAAAAUCAGGUCCUUUGGGAAAUUACCAUAGCUGUAUGUAACUUCCCAUUUUGGAUCUAACUUGGAGAUCUAUAAGCACGUUUUUUUCUGAACUGGGUAGGUAAUUACAUAAUAUCCAUGGAUUUAUAGCAUAUUCCCAAGACAGUGUCUGUGAUAACUUUAAAAUACAACAGUCCAAUUCAUGAAGAGCAGAAGUGAAGAAUAGGUACAAAAUUACCUGUAUCAGUUUUACUCAUGGGGGAUAAACAUGACCUAAGGCAUUUUUUUGACAUAAAUCAUGUAAGGAUGGCUUUGGCAGAGUAAGAAUGCCUUUUACUUUGGUAAAGUAAAAAUUUUCUGAGCCCCACAUUCAACAAGUAAAAUGCAAGAUCAUGUUCAGGCUUGAAUGUGGACCUUUAAAAGAGGAACUUAUUAGACUUCAAGUUUGCUUCUUAGUGACACUGAUCUCACUUUGUUCCUCUUUUCACUCUGCUUUGUGAGUUGUGACACCGUCCUGAAGCAAGGACAUGUAGUAUGACUUCUGUAAUAGGGGAGCAGAGUUAUUCUUUGGGAUAAGAAAGCUCCUUACAACUGUUCUGCCUGAUCAAAAUCUGUUUGAUCCUUGUUCCUUAGUUGCAGAUGGUAGUGGUGCUUGAGUCUUUCAGUAUUACAGAGGAAGUAUCAUUUUAUAUACAUCUAUUUACAUGCAGAACUGAGAAAUACUACUUCUAAUGGUAACACCUCUUGCCUCUUUUAACCCAGGAAAAAUGCAAAAAUCUUUCACAAGUGUAAGAAAAAGACUGGACAAACUCAAGAGAGAAAACUUGAUCUGCUAAAUAUUAAAGAUACCAUUAUGGUAUCAAGUUCUGAGCCAUAGAAGGCUGGGGACUGGGAUAUGCUUCCUGUGCACUCAACUUUUGUCCAGUGUUGCAGGAAGUGUCUUGGACUCUGAGUUUCCAAAUGGUAUAUGGUAAUUUGUACAAAUUGUAAUUUACUUAAAAUGCUGAAGGUGUCUCUGGCUUUUCAUAAGAGUUGGAAAACCCCAGGGCAGUCUCUGCUUGUAAGAAAGAUUCUUGUGCCCAGUUAAGGUCUGUCGGCACACUCGGUGUACCUGCGGUGACAGGGGUGCUUUCCUUGGCUUGGCUUGUUUUGAGAACGUGCGGAUGCAGUGGGACAAGAGCAACUCCGAUUAUCGUGUCUGUCGUGACCACGAGGGGGCCCUGGCAGCUCUGGUCGGGCGACGAGUGUGCUGAAAGGGCAGGGUCAGGGCUGAGUGCUCGUUGUCUCAGUUAGAUCUGUUCAGCACUUCUGAAUUCCAUACCUCUUCUAUAUAAUUUUUGAUACAGUAUUUUGAGAUGUAAUUUUGAGAAAUACAUCUGAUAUUACAAAAACUUUCCUCAACUUUAAUAAAUAGCACUGGCCAUUUCAUCUCCUCUCCAUGUUUCAACAGCAUGAGCUAUUUCUCCAAGUCAAAAUUCAAGAGUUUUGCACACAUCACUAUUUAUAAAAUAGAUGGAAUUGUUAUGGAGAAGCUUAAAAAGAUUUUUUUUAUAUCUUACUAGAUUUAAACUUGGUAAUACAAUAUUUCAAUAAAGAUUUUAUUUCUCCCACCCCACAUCCUUUAGUCUUUCAUUUUUUUUCUAGGAAUACGUGUAUACAUUUUAACAUUUUUAAGCUCUUCUAAUGUUCCUUGGGAAAUGCACUGUAGUCUAACCAAUGGUGUGACCAGAAAUCACAUGAAUUGCUGUUGCUUAAUCUUCACUUGACAAAUCUGAAAGUAAUUCUGGGAGCCUGGAAACUUUUUGUUGAAACUUUAGUUGCUAGUUGCAAUUUAAUAUAAAUUGCUAGUUGCAAUUUAAUAUAAAUAAGCUCUCAUUACUGUAAAAAUAUUGAGUGUAAUUCUUAGCUAUAUACUGAAUGUUUGUGAAAGCACAGAGGUCUUAUUUUAAAGCAGGGAUGAAGAAAAGUGAAUAACUAAAGUAAAAUUAGUCAUUGCAACCAAUAAUACUUGUAAAAAGAUGUUUCUAGUCUCUUGUGUAUAAAGUGUUGUGCAGAAUAAAAUGACCCUCAUCUGA